AGAAGUUCCUGGGCCAGGGAUCAAACCCAAGUAACCACAGCCACAUCAGUGACAACACUGGAUCUUUAACCCACUGAGCCACCAGGGAACUCCCAGACUGUUGUAUUUUGACAUCACACUUAAAAUAAUCAGCGGCAGGAGUUCCUAUCGUGGCUCAGUGGAAAUGAAUCUGACUAGCAUCCAUGAGAUGCAGGUUCAAUCCCUGGCCUCAAUCAGUAUGUUAAGGAUCCAGCAUUGCCAUGAGCUGUGGUAUAGGCUGGCAGCUGCAGCUCCAAUUCAACCCCUAGCCUGGGAAUCUCCAUAUGCAGUGGGUAUAGCCCUAAAAAGGCAAAAAAAAAUUAAAAAAAAAAUUAAAAUAGUCAGAGGCAGCAUGAAGACCAAUACACAAAACUUACUUUAUGUAAGUACAUGGAGUUUACAUUUGCGUGGAAAAUGUAAAACAAUACAACAGUAGAGAUUACCAGAUAUAAUGUCUUUUGUUUGGUAAAUACAAAAUUUAUUUCACACAUGAAAUAUUUUAUUGAAUUUAAUGAUAUAUUUAAAAUCUAAUCUACCCCGGAAAAUAGUAUCACUGGUUAUGACAUGAUUAUUAAUGACUACAAUUUUGCUGAGUAAAGGAAGCAAGUGAGGUAGUUUGCAUCUGUGCCCCUGCUGCCUCCUGUUGACAACAGUCAUCUCUGAACUAAAGACUGAGGGCAACAGAAAGUGCUCAGUACUCAGAAUUGCUGAGGUCAGGCUCCAGGUAGCCUCAGCAAUUAAACUCUGGCUGGUUCCUUCACCAGCAGAAGAGCGCCUUUAAGGAAUUGAGAUCAAGUGUGGAUUCUGAAGCAGGCGAUGCAGUCGCUACUCUGAGGCACUUGCAACACAGAAAGAUGAGACAUGCAACUCAUGAAAAGUUAAAUAGCUGUAGAACAUGCCAGCACAAAAUAAACCACAAAGCAGAAAAUGACAGAUGAGGAGAAAAUGGAGAUGCACUUCCUGCCCUCGAUCAGAGCCUGGGGAGACCAGGUGGCCCAGAAGGGGCCAGGGGAGCUUUCCAAACACUUGGGGCAGCUCCUAGAAGCGCUUCGCCUAGUUAUGUUUAGUUUUCAACUCUAGGCUCAUUUUGCUACGGUUUAAAACGGGACCAGUGCAGCCCUGUUUGGGCGGGGACCUUGGAAUUCUAGAUGGCACUGAGGUAGUGUAAAGACAGAAGGCAUACCCAGAGGGAUGCGCAUAUGCUGCCGGCUCCAAGGAAGCAGCAAAUCCUCUGCUUUCUGCGAUUGCAUCCUGCAUCUCUUUUAAAGUGGGAAAGGUUGCAAACCCUUCUCCCCAGACACCAACACAUGUUCUCCCACACAAGAGAAGCAGUGUCUGUGCUUCUGGGUUAGCCCUGGACUUGUCACCCUCCAGGGCAUGGCCCACUUGGCUCAGGGGAGUCUGAUUCUCAGUGUAGGCUUCUGCCUUCCUCUAGGUCUGUCCUGAUAACUUUGGUCCCUGGGACCCAGGUUCUCCACCCGGCCAGUGCUCAGGAAAUGAAGCAGGAGGUGUCCAGCCACCUGGACACUUUUGGGAUGGGAAGAAUGAGCAAAGGGACAUGUCUUGAAUCUCUUCACACAAGAAAGCUGAUUCAGUUUUUUCCUACUGGACCCAAGAAACCAGCUUCGUUCUAUUCAGGAUUCCAGUGUUGCUGCCAACCCGGGCCUUGUGUGGCUGUCCCCACUGUUAUUCUUCUGGUUUAUUGAUGAGGUUGCUUUCUGCAUUCGUACUUCUUCAGAUUUCCUGUUCCCCGGGGAGCAAACGGAAACCAGGCUGCCCCACAUUUACAGCAGCUCAGUGUUCUCUGAAAUGCAAUUAAAAUGUUAAGAAAGACGGACAAUCAAUAUUUUAUAAUCUACACGAAAAAUCCCCUUCCUAAUGGACUGGUGUGGGUUGCAAAACUGGGAGAGAGCCUGAGGCUGUGUCUACAAAAUGCCAAAGCAACUAGUUGCAGAGUGAAUAAUUUCUGUCUCAUUGUCAAUCUCCAGCACCCAGCUCCUUCACUAGCCCUCCUUCCCAUAACUGACUAAAUAGACAAUUUGUUCUGACACUGAGAACCACAGAACAGAGAGACCCAGACACAAAGCCAGAGUGAAAGCCUUCGUCAGGCUCCCCUUCACUCUCUUCAGAACAACAGACUCCAUUUUCGGAGCUGUUACAGAGGUUGUACUACAGAGAAAUGACACGUGCAGAAAUGGGAUACACACACCACUACUCCAACUUUCUCCAUAUUCCAAACCUGGCUCCAGAGUCCUUCCUGUGAAGCCCUAGGUGGCCAUGACCAUCAAAAGGCCAAGACCUGAAGGGAUAAGGACUGUGUCUGGGCCUGGGUGACUCUUUAAGCUAUAUCAUCAUUUCUUCCAGCAGCCCAAAGAAUAGCAAAGUGCCCUAUUGUUUAAACAUCACGGCCAGUGGUGCACAGAGAGCUACUUAGUAGCCAGUCACGAUCCAUAGCUAGGAACAGAGGGAAUUUGGGGUCACCUGUUUGCAAAACCCCAGGCUCCUUCUGGUCCAUGUGCUGCUCAGUUAUCACAUCAAGUGAGUCCUGACUGUACUCUAGCUACCAGGUCAGACAUCAGAACAUAAGUAAAACAGAGGUCUUCACUUCAGAGCACCUGCACCAUAGGGAUAACUUAGCCCCCGCUCAAGAAUGAUGUAGGGGGGUAAGACAAGGCUGAUGUUGGUGCUUGCACUGUAAGCCAGGAGGCUGGGAGCACAGAUCAGCAGCCAAAAUGGGGCAUGGAGCCUGCCUGCACUACCUCCAUGGGUUGGCCCUGGCCUAUUGUCACCAAGGUGGACACAGAUCUGGCCAUGGAUCUUGGUGGCUGAGGAGGUUUGAAGCAAGAGAUGAAGGCAGGCAACCUAACAGAUUUAAAAGUGCAAAUGAUGGGAGGUGCUUGCAAGUGAGAUCAGAGGACUGGAAAGGGGCCAGAACAAAGCAGAGACAGUGUCAGGGAGUACGAGGGCUCAUUGUUGUGGAGGGGCAGUCAAUUUCAUCUCCACCCCCACAGCCCAUGUAAGGAUAGCUACAAAGUGAGUGUUACAGAUAAGGACACUGAGUCCAGAGAGAUCAAGGGACCCUCACAUGUCACACAGCAUGGAGGUCGAAGGGUAGUCUGGAAGCAGGCCUGUGGUUCUCCGCAUUCUGUCCCCUGCAGGAAAAAGUCUGCAGGCCACAGGUCCCCAAGAACUAAGCUGCAUUUGUGAUACAUGAGAGGCAGAUAACAAAGAAUUGCUAAAUAUCUUUUGAGAAAGAAAAUUGAAUGACAUGAUCAAAAUUACAUCUUAUAAAAAUUUAUCUCAUGUGGCUACAGUUCUGAUUGGGCCCCUAGCCUAGGAACCUCCAUAUGCCUUGGGUGGGGCCCUAAAAAGACAAAAAAAAAUGGUCUCAGCAUUAGGGGUGCAGGAAGGCUGAGUAAGGCAGGCAGUUUGGGAGAUGAUCCCCUAUCCAGAUAGAAUACAGUCUGGACCAUGGAAGAGAGGAGAAAAGAGGGAGUACUGGGGGAGGGGGGUGAUCCUUGUGAGCGGCUGACACCUGACUAUGCCUAAAAAGGGGUGGAGGUGACCUAAAGGAAGAGGAGUCACAGGAGAUUUGAGUCCCAGGUGCCUGGGUGGAGAUGCAGGGACCAGGGAGCUGGGAGCAGGAACAGGUGCUAGAAGGAAGAUGCAGGCCUCAGUGUUCACACAUCCCCAUUAAAAGUGCACCAGAAGUGAUACUGUGUUACCCAGGGCAUUUGGAAAAGGAACUAAAUAAACCAGAUUAUUUUGAGCAAAUAAAGCCAAGAGUGUCUGCCAGAAACCAUUUCCCUGGAAGGUCUGAAUUUCAUGAAGACAAGAAGUUGAUGUAGGGCACAGAGCAGGGGUAUAACAGGCGAGACCCUGGGCGGGGCUUUGAAUCUGAGGGGACCCUGCCCCUCUGUGUCAGCACUGGAUGGAAGUAGACAUGCUCACCUGUAACCCUGGCCUUCCUUGCCUCCCCACACCACCCUCAUUCUACUCUGAGACUCCACCACUCAGCUGAACACUCCAAGCUGGAGAUUGGCUAUAAUUGGGCUCAGCCAGAGCCCAUGUGUGGCCAUGCUGGUGCCCAGUAGCCUCUCUAUAAAAGCAGGGAGUCCAAUUAUAUUGUCCCUAAGGUCUUUCCCACAUAUCUUUGAGGGUUUUCUUUUUUUUUUAAGGGCCACACCUGCAGCAUAUGGAGAUUCCCAGAUUAGAGGUCAAAUCUGAGCUGCAACUGCCAGUCUACACCACAGCCACAGCAAUGCCAGAUCCGAGCCACAUCUGUGAUCUACAGCACAAUGUGCAGCAAUGCCAGAUCCUUAACCCACUGAGCAAGGCCAGGGAUAGAACCUGAUCGUCACAAUUACUGGUUGGGUUCUUCACCCGCUUAGCCUCAACGGGAAAUCUUGGGUAUUUCCAAAUACCUUCUCAGGGAUCAGACUCACAAACAGCAGAACAUUAUCAUGGGUGCCUUAAUACUUAAUGGGGAGAUGAUCAAAUAUUUGGGUAAGACAGGAGAGUUACCUGUCUUUGCAGAGAAGAAGAGCCCAUGGACUCUCAGCCAGGCACAUUCAGAUUUGAAUCUGGUUUGUCACUUGCUGCCUGUGAGCCCUGAGUGAGGUGACUGUUAGAACACAGCAUAUAAUGAACCAAUACACUGAAUUUCUCAGAUAACAAAUGCUAUUCAGCUCAGCGUGAACUGAAACAGUCCAGGAAGGAAACAGUCCAGGAAGUCUUCUUGGAGAAGGUGGGUUUGUGGAGUCCUGGGAAUGGGCACAGAUGGGGACUGACAAACAGAACAGUUCUGGGAGGGAAUAACCAGCUGCCUUCCCAGAGGGUGAUGUGCAUUCCUCAAAUAGAAGAUGGGAGAGCAAGAAUCAGCUGAGACUCAGUACAGAACAGGAGGGCUCCCUUGAAGAGUUGUAUCCAUCUCUCACUGAGGCAAAUGCAUCUUCCUAGCCCCUGAUCCCACAGUUGUCCA
rnacentral:lncRNA from 1 species